rnacentral:misc_RNA from 1 species
UUUGAUUAUCUCUCUUUAGUUACAUAGCAGUUUUUUAUACAGCUUAUUCCCUCAAAUGUAACUGUUCUCGCCAAUUCCAACUUCCUCUAACUACCUCGAGGCUCAAGCUCACCUGCUAGCUAACACAGUCAUCCUAACUUCCCUAUUACUUCUUUAUACAAUUACAGCCCUUACUCAUCCCCUAUUACAGCUCUUAUUCACUUUAACCCUCUUACUUUAACCUGAUUCUGUUGUAUGUGACAAUCAGCCUGGCUCAGGGCAUUGUAGGAUAAUAACCUUGGUUAAUG